UACCGGCGGCUCGAGUGGUGGCCACUAUUACUGGGCUUAAAGCGUUCGUAGCUGGUCUGUUAAGUCUCUGGGGAAAUCUACUGGCUUAACCAAUAGGCGUCUCAGGGAUACUGGCAGACUAGGGACCGGGAGAGGUGAGAGGUACUCCAGGGGUAGGAGUGAAAUCCUGUAAUCCUUGGGGGACCACCUGUGGCGAAGGCGUCUCACCAGAACGGCUCCGACAGUGAGGGACGAAAGCUGGGGGAGCAAA
rnacentral:rRNA from 1 species